rnacentral:lncRNA from 1 species
AAUCAGAACAGCCUGACUCUGCGAUCAGUUAGGUUUUUGUUAGUCUGGGUUGCCACACAGAAGGUUGUAUCGCCUACAACCUAUCUAUUGGUGGAAUUACUCUGGAUCGGAAGCUUUGUACUGAAUGGAGGACUGUGCCUUGUGGGUACUCUGCUCAUAAAGGACCAAGACACAGGCAACAGAAGCUUCUUCAGGAAAAUCAGUUCGGGAAGAAAUUCACUCUCAUGAGACAGCACUAAACAGCAGCUAGUGGCUCCAGCCAUUGAGGAUUAGAAGUGGAGGAUGCUGGCAAGUCCUUCAUGAGACUGCAAAAACUGCUAUGAACUGGUUGGAACACCUCUCCUAUGAAGAAAAACUGAGAAAGCUGAGACUGUUCAGCCUGGAGAAGGCUCAAGGGGAUCGCAUCAGUGUGCACAACUGCUUGAAGGGAGGAUGCAAAGAAGACAGAGCCAGGCUCUUUCCAGUGCUUCCCAGUGGCAGGACAAGAGGCAAUGGGCACAAACUGAAACACAAGGGGUUUCCUCUAAACAUCAGGAAGCACUUCUGUACUGUGCAGGUAAUGGAGCACUGGCACAGAUUGCCCAGAGAGGCUGUGGAGGCUCCUCCUUGGAGAUCUUCAAAAGCUGCCUGGAUGUGGGCCGGGACAAUCUGCUUGAGCAGGGAUUGGGCCAAAUGGACCCAGAGGUUCCCUUCAGCCUCAACCCUUCUGUGAUCUUGUGUUUACUUUCAUUAUUACUAGCUGACAAGUAGUGCUUCUAAAUGCCUUAAAAAGUUGAGGAAAUUUCACAAGAUUUUAUUUAUUUGUUUGUUUGUUUGUUUCUUUUGCUGUCUUUGCAUGGCAAAGACUUUCCUUUACUGGUAUUCUGACAAGAGAAAGUUCAGGCUCAAGCUGCUGGAUGUAUGUUUAUAUUGUCUUCUCAAUUUGUUUCCUGUGUGUAACUGUAGUGAGAGUUUUUUGAGGAUAGAGGGGUCUGAUCAUCACUUACUUUAAAUUGUAUAGUGCCAUUACUGCCCUAUAUCUGCUCCCUAGAGUCUUAGUACUAAACUGAAAUGUACUUAUUUGCAGCCAUGCUAGAUUCCAUUGUCAUAUCUUAAUGUAGGAUAAUACUGUAAUUCAUUAAUAUUAUGUUCUUUAAUGAGGCCUGUGACUCUGUGUUUUUAUAUAGGAAUUUGCACUUGUGAUUUUCUUUGCUAAUUUAAGUACAUUGUCCACCAUCAACUUAAAAUCUAGUAUCAAUUUAAAAUUAGGAAAUGAUGAGUCCUGUGAGAAACAUCCCUUGCUUGUUAUUCUCUCAGGAUUACAGUGUGUGAGAAGUGUUCCAUGCUGCUUUUUAAUUCCUGUUUGUUAUUGAUUGUUUUUAGUUUGCAGUUUUACUUUUUGGUUCUCUGAAAAGUUCAAAGCUCGUAACUGGUAACAAAUGGGGCAAAACUAUUUAAACUUUCAUGUCAGAAAUUAC